GCAGUCGAGCGGUAACAGAUCUAGCUUGCUAGAUGCUGACGAGCGGCGGACGGGUGAGUAAUGCAUAGGAAUCUGCCCGAUAGUGGGGGAUAACCUGGGGAAACCCAGGCUAAUACCGCAUACGUCCUACGGGAGAAAGGGGGCUUCGGCUCCCGCUAUUGGAUGAGCCUAUGUCGGAUUAGCUAGUUGGUGAGGUAAAGGCUCACCAAGGCAACGAUCCGUAGCUGGUCUGAGAGGAUGAUCAGCCACAUCGGGACUGAGACACGGCCCGAACUCCUACGGGAGGCAGCAGUGGGGAAUAUUGGACAAUGGGGGCAACCCUGAUCCAGCCAUGCCGCGUGUGUGAAGAAGGCCCUCGGGUUGUAAAGCACUUUCAGCGAGGAAGAACGCCUGGCGGUUAAUACCCGCCAGGAAAGACAUCACUCGCAGAAGAAGCACCGGCUAACUCCGUGCCAGCAGCCGCGGUAAUACGGAGGGUGCAAGCGUUAAUCGGAAUUACUGGGCGUAAAGCGCGCGUAGGUGGCUUGAUAAGCCGGUUGUGAAAGCCCCGGGCUCAACCUGGGAACGGCAUCCGGAACUGUCAGGCUAGAGUGCAGGAGAGGAAGGUAGAAUUCCCGGUGUAGCGGUGAAAUGCGUAGAGAUCGGGAGGAAUACCAGUGGCGAAGGCGGCCUUCUGGACUGACACUGACACUGAGGUGCGAAAGCGUGGGUAGCAAACAGGAUUAGAUACCCUGGUAGUCCACGCCGUAAACGAUGUCGACCAGCCGUUGGGUGCCUAGAGCACUUUGUGGCGAAGUUAACGCGAUAAGUCGACCGCCUGGGGAGUACGGCCGCAAGGUUAAAACUCAAAUGAAUUGACGGGGGCCCGCACAAGCGGUGGAGCAUGUGGUUUAAUUCGAUGCAACGCGAAGAAUCUUUACCUACCCUU
rnacentral:rRNA from 2 species